UGUAACGGAGGAGGAGGUGGCCGUUUAUAACACCAAACCACCGCCGCCCCCUCCCCCUGAGUCACUCCCCCCAAGUUCGUUGGGCCUUCGCAGCCUCCUCCCUAUUCCCCACAGAGCUGCACUUCCCAAAAGUUGAAUCACAAAGUCCUGCCUGCGGCCAGCAGUCCACCCCUCCGGUUUCUGCAGAAUUUGCAGUGAGUGAGGGCUGAAGAAAGAGUGGGUGGGAUAGUUGAAAUACCGGGGCCAUUGUGUGAUGGAUGCCAGGGAUUUUCAGGAUGGUUCACCAACAGGCCUGACCACCUCAACAACUACUGGUAUGCUGCAGAAAUGAUCAGAGGUAACACAGGCCUCAGCCGCACAAACGGACCCCGCUCAACUCUGCUGUUUGCGGAUGGUUUUAAAACCUCGUCGGACAGCAUGAGGAGCCCAAAGUGACAGAAAACAGGUGCAGAUACAAAAAAAAUGGCACCAGCAGGGGAAGUCAUCUUCUGCAUUAAACUGUCAAAGUGCCAGCUGUGAAGAGUGUUGGUGAGGCUCAAAAUGUUUGAAGAACAUCGCUGAAAACGCCAAGCUUCACCUCUUAUGAAGAGGAGGUAGAAUCUACGAACUGUGAGGACUAUUUAUGUAUAUUUUUGGCCACUGUGCCUUCUAUCCUUUAUUUCCGUUUCAUCUUUCCAUUUGUCUUAAGGUUAGGAUGUGAUCAGUGUGUAACUUUGUUUCCAGGUUGUUCAUCUCCCCGUAGUUUAGCUUAGUGCGAACACUUGCGUCGUCGAUGAUCGCUCUACGGUAAGUCCCGUGUUUACUUCCUUCUUUUAAUGGGUUGUCUCUCCUCGGCCGCCGUGCCGACCUGUUCUGUCUUUCUAACAUGGCCGCCGUGGCGUGUUAUUCGCAUCAUGGCCGCCGUGCCGCUUCUUCAGGCUGUCUCUGUCCAUUCCACGCCAUGCGUCGUCCAGCAUGGCCGCCGAUGCGUAGUUUGAAGCCAUGCUGGAGAAGACAUUUCAUUUUGAUCUACACAAAGUAAGUGGUAUCUGUCUUAAAUGUUGGUUCUGGUGUUGGCUUUUAUCUUGAGCUCUCAUUCUCUUUCCAACAUGGCCGGCUGCCAACCAGAGUUGUGAAGACCGUCGCAUUUGUUUAGUGUUAGUAGUAUCGUGUUGUACAAAUCCCCUCAUGUGUCUGCUGUAGUAAACUGUAAUCUCCUGUCCCUGUUUAUAUCUGCACCUGUCUGUCCAGCAUCACCACACCAUCUCUCUGGCUGCUACACCAUUCUACCCUCACAGUAGUUUACCUGAUCUGGCCAUGAUUCAAUCAGACCAUAGUUAAAUUUCAUCUCUAUUGACUUGAUGAGCAAAUGAUGGUGCCCAAACAAAACUAUAGACUAACAAAGCACUGUUUUAUAGACAUGUUGUCUUAACUUGAAACAUUUUUUUUAACCCAAAAUUUCCCUAAAAAUGUUAAAUGUAGAAUUUCCACUGUGAAAAUGUAUAUAUUUUUCCACAUUUCCAAACAGUAAACGGGUCAGUUUUGACCCACAGCACAACAUGAGGGUUAAAAAGUGCUUUUUGCAGUUUGUGUAAUUGAUGUUCAGUUCUUUAAAUGCAUUUAUUCCAUUUGUUCUAAACUUAUAGAACAUUGUUUAGUAAAGUGAGAAUUUUUUUUCAUACAGCAUCAUAAAAUGAUUUCCAGUAGAAACAUAACUUUUUUUAAAAGUUUAAAUAUUAAGACUUCACAGAAAUUUGACAAAUUUGAAUAUUCAGGUUAAGAUCAAACACAGGCUUUAAAUCUGUGAUCGGUCAAAACAAAAAUCAAUUUGCUUGAGUCCGGAUGAGCUGCUGUCAAUGUAUUCAAAACUUUAAUGUUAAUCGCACUUUGCUCACAUAUUGUGGUUAAUUUCUGACUGCUGUCACUCUACUGGGUUUAAUUCCAACAGCUGUAUAGAGUUCUAGUUUAGGAUUUGUUUGGGAGGCCUCCCUGCAGGCGAUUGUAACCAAACGCCUUUAAAGUGUAGCAUGAGAUGAAAUUCACCAACAGGGUUAGUACAGGUUUGUUUUUUUGUUGUUUUUUUUUUUUAAAUCGGGGGAAGGGGGAAGCUGGUUGGGUUGCUGGAGGGACUAAACCUGACAGAGUGACAACUUAAAGCGGAGUGAUGCUGAAAUUUGGGUUGUUUUAUGGUGACAAACGGCAACUACAGCUGGAAACCUCAGACAUAUUGAAUAACUUAGUCCUACUCUUUUCAUAACACUAAAUUGCAGGGCAUUUUUUUUUUUUGCCUUUUAAGUUGACUUAUUUUAAUUGACUACAUAAGACUGUAGGUUCUAUACCUGUGCUGUUUCAAAUGAGUAACAUCUGCAGUACUGGCUGUUUGUGUGAUUCAUUUAUUUUUUUAAAUAAAUGAACCUGACUUGGUUUUUUUGCUAGCAGUUCCUGUGAGAACUCCUGACUUGUAUGUGCUAGCAAGUGGAAAAACUUUGAGUGUAAGUGCCUAAAAAUACUUAAUGUACGUUAAAAAAAAAUUUUUUAAACUGGGAAUGGGGGACAGGCAUGUAAAUGUUGACAACUGUUUAUCAAUUACACUAACUCUAGUUUGUGGCAUCUUUUACUUGUAUCGUCUUUCUUGGUUGAGUUUCACUGUAUGAACAGAUUAUACAGCUUUUUUUAAAAACUUGAUUUACUGUUUUUUUU